CACGUAGGGUGCGAGCGUUGUCCGGAAUUAUUGGGCGUAAAGAGCUCGUAGGCGGUGUGUCGCGUCUGCCGUGAAAGUCCGGGGCUCAACUCCAGAUCUGCGGUGGGUACGGGCAGACUAGAGUGAUGUAGGGGAGACUGGAAUUCCUGGUGUAGCGGUGAAAUGCGCAGAUAUCAGGAGGAACACCGAUGGCGAAGGCAGGUCUCUGGGCAUUAACUGACGCUGAGGAGCGAAAGCAUGGGGAGCGAACAGG
rnacentral:rRNA from 1 species